rnacentral:tRNA from 1 species
GAGGUUGUGGCUCAGUCGUAGAGUGCUUGUCUAACAUAUGUGAGGCACUGGGUUCAAUCCUCAGCACCACA